rnacentral:rRNA from 1 species
CCUACGGGAGGCAGCAGUGGGGAAUAUUGCACAAUGGGGGAAACCCUGAUGCAGCGACGCCGCGUGAGUGAAGAAGUAUCUCGGUACGUAAAGCUCUAUCAGCAGGGACGAAAAUGACGGUACCUGACUAAGAAGCCCCGGCUAACUACGUGCCAGCAGCCGCGGUAAUACGUAGGGGGCAAGCGUUAUCCGGAUUUACUGGGUGUAAAGGGAGCGUAGACGGCAGCAUAAGUCUGGAGUGAAAUCCCGGGGCUUAACCCCGGAACUGCUUUGGAAACAGGUCGGCUAGAGUGCAGGAGGGGUGAGCGGAAUUCCUAGGGUAGCGGUGAAAUGCGUAGAUAUUAGGAGGAACACCAGUGGCGAAGGCGGCUUACUGGACUGUAACUGACGUUGAGGCUCGAAAGCGUGGGGAGCAAACAGGAUUAGAUACCCGUGUAGUC